GCAAACACCAGCCUCCACUGAGAGCUUUAAACAACAUAUAAUUUGACAUUGAUUGUAAAGGAUAUGAACAAAAGAAUACCGAUGAAUGAUCUUUUCUUUUCUUUUAUAUAACAUGCAAUAAUCACCUUAAGAUUACUGAAAAUUAGUUCACGUUUAUCGACUUCUAUUUCCUAUUCACAAAUUUCUUUAUCCUUUUCAUUAACUUCAAAAACUGAAUUUUCUUUUACGGCGAAAGAAAAUGCAAUCCAUAGGAAUUGCAAAACAAAAAUCACUUUCUGUUAGUUAGCGAGAAUAUGUAAUAAAAGAAAUUCAGCUAAUUCGACAACCCAAUAUAUAGGAAAACAAAAAUCACUUUCUUGCUGUGAAUAAACACUCCAAUUCCAAGAAAAUGAAAAACCCAGAUAAAAGCAUGUCAUCUUGUUCCAUACUAGCUUGCUUUUCUACAAUUGUAACCAAUAACCCAUAAAUUAUAAAGCUUAAAUUAGUAAAAGAAACGCAUCAUUACCUGA
rnacentral:misc_RNA from 1 species